rnacentral:lncRNA from 1 species
AUCUAGCACCGCCUCUUCCGCGUUCUCGGAGGAGCGAUCUGCAGGUAGGGGUGCGCGCGACCGCUCCCCGGCGGGAGCCAGCGAAGGUUUCCAUGUCAGAGGCCGAUGGAGAACUGAAGAUUGCCACCUACGCACAAAGGCCAUUGAGACACUUCGUGUAGCUGGAAGACACCAACUUCCUGACAGGAGCUUUAUUUCAUUUGGGAUUUCAAGUUUACAGAUGGUAUCUUCUCAAAAGUUGGAAAAACCUAUAGAUAGAGUCUCCCUCCAGCCUGGAUGACAGAGCGAGACCGUAGCUCAAAACAUAAUAAUAAUUUGAGAUGUGUCUUUUCAGGUUUUUUUUAACGUAUAUAUGAUAUAUAUGAUGACAUUUUGAAGUGUUCUGUGUUACACUGUCACCAGAGGUUUUGUCAUGCCUGGGAGAUUAUGAAUAAUGCCUCAUUUGCAGAUUUGGGUCAGAUGAGGGCUGAGUGAGAGUGGUUUUAGCCUGAUCGGUGAGUUUUCAUAGUCCCUGGUGGCUGUGUGUCACCCUUCUUCAUCUGAAGGUCCCCGGUGGUGCCAUUGUCUUUCCCUGCUCCCCGUCCCCAGCCAGCUCCACUUCCUGAAUUUUCCCCCUGUUUGAUGGUCCUACUGUUGUUAUGGUGACCUGACUUUGGUUAAUAAACAUGUAAUCAUAAGUAUAUGAGGCCCUCCUCUUCCUGGCUGCAUGCUAGGCAGUGGGGAUACAGAGGAAUUAAACACUGUCCCUUCCUUCAAGGAGGGCUGUGGUCUUUGCCCCCACCUUCUUCAGUCAUUUGGUAGGACUAGAACCAGUUCUGCCUCGAUGACUUCAUUCCCUCACUCUGUUACACACCUCACCUCCUCUUCCUUGCUCUCCCUGCUCUCCCUGUCUCUGUUGUAGGCCUUUCUCACCCUGCCCCGGGCUGUUCCAGCAGCCUCUUUCAGCCCUCUUGCUCUAGCCUCCAGUUUGUUCUUCACAUCACAGUCAGUUCCGUGGCCCCCAGGCACAGCUCCAGUCACACCCAGUCCCUCCCCAUCACCUAGGCCAGUGGUUCGCAG